rnacentral:rRNA from 1 species
AGGUUUCCGUAGGUGAACCUGCGGAAGGAUCWUUG